GUCACUUUGCCGGAGUGGUUAACGGGAUCGCCUGCUAUCACCACUCGAUAGAUGAUAAAGCGGUUGGGCUUUGCCCGCGAGUGUUCGAAUCGCUCAGGUGACG